UCAGCCAUCUUGAUCAAUCAGAAAACUUUUAUGCGUGUGACCUCAUAGGCUCGAACCUAAGCCGAUAGUAAAGGAACGUCUUCCUACACCAAUCGAUGUGACAAUCUAGCAAUGGUACCCGACGUUCGGAUAGGCCGAAUAUAUGCGAAGCAAAUAUUCUGGAGCCCUAGACUAUGGUUACUGUAUAAUUCAUCCCUUUGACUCCUAAUGCCAAGAUGAUCUUAGAGUUCUGUCAACUCUGUAAUCAGUGCAUCCAUGAUGUGAUUCAAUUUUAUUAAUUUGUCAAUUCAUUUACAAAAUUCAAUCAUUAAAAAACUAAAAACAUAUUAAAGGUCAUGAGACAUUCAUGUCCUUAAUUAAACGGUUAUUGCAGUCUACAAGGAGAGUGACUACACUAUUCUGAUUUUUGAAUUUACCAGAAGGCACCAUAAUAGAAGUCUUUGCAAAAUUGUAAGGUGGCAUCGAUAGGAGCCUUAUGCAUUGGGCUACCCCUAUUUAUACUCUCGGUUGGGAAGACUUGUUGGUAUUAGCUGCAAUAGUUUCUUUGCAAUGGAUGCCUAAAAGACAUGUUAAUUCAUUUUUCAGGGAGUAAAUGGAAUAGAUGAUUCAAUCUUUGCUACUAUUCACGUAGUAGCCUCACGGAGUCUAGCAACCUAGACCAGUGGAAAAGCCACACAUUUUCUACAUGCCUCAUCUUCUUCUGUCAUUUUUUUCCUUGUGGUUUAGCUGGUGCUCAUAUUGUUAUUUGCAUUAUUAUAUCUUCUUGCAUUGCCC
rnacentral:lncRNA from 1 species